CUUCCAGUGACGGCAUAUGGCUCCCAGACAAUUUUGAGUUGAAAAAAAAAAUCAGUUUGGACUGAUUUUAAAAUACUUGUGAUAUUGCUUAAUAAUACCGUGUCAUUUUAAAGUAAACAGAAACUAGUUUUGAAGAUAAAAUUCACGGGUCACGCCUGCACGAAGCUCAACCUCACCACGUACGAACCAGACUACAAGGCCAUCAGCAAAACCAUGCAGCACCAGAAGUCGCAUUAAAAAAACAUCAUCACCGGGCACCCAUCACACGACAUCACCACCACCACCAUCAUCACCACAGACAUUGCUGGCAUCACAACCAUCAUCACCACCACAGACAAUCACCAUCACCAUUAUCAUCCACACCAAAAUCAUCAUCUCCACCAUCAUCAUCUCCACCAUCAUCAUCUCCACCAUCAUCAUCUCCACCAUCAUCAUCUCCACCAUCAUCAUUUCCACCAUCAUCAACCCGACCAAGAUGACCACCACCAUCAUAUAAACAACAGGACACUAAACAAUCAUCGUGAUCACAUAGAGACGACUAUCACCCUAUUACCACCAUCACCACCAUCCUCCAAUCACUACCACCACCAUCACCACCACCCCAUCAGCACCACCACGAUCACCACGACCACCACUACCACGACUACCACCACGACCACCACCACCACGACUGCCAUCGUCACCGCCAUGAACGUCGUCUCCGCGGUGGUGGAAGCGGCGGCGGCCUCGCAGCUCGAGGAGGAGGUGCGCACUUUGUUCGUGAGCGGCCUGCCCAUGGACAUCAAACCCAGGGAGCUCUACCUGCUCUUCCGACCUUUCAAGGGCUACGAGGGUUCGCUGAUUAAACUCACCUCCAAACAGCCGGUGGGAUUCGUGAUGUUCGACAGUCGAUCCGAGGCGGAGACGGCCAAGAACUCGCUCAGCGGAAUCCGCGUUGACCCCGAGAGCCCCCAGAGCCUGAGGUUGGAGUUCGCCAGGUCCAACACGAAGAUGUGCAGCAGGGGGGGGGGCAGGGGGGGGGCGGGGGGGCGGGGGGGCGGGGGGGGCGGGGGGGGGCCGCACCUCGCCCUGGCGCCGCACUUCGUCACGCGCGAGACCUACGAGCUGGCGGGAGCGGCGCUGCUGCCCGCGGGUCCGGACGCGUGGUCGGCGUACCACCCGGCACUGUACGCAGACGUGGGGCCCGCGGUGGCCCACGCCGCCUUCCCCCCCUCCCCCUCCUCCUCCUGCUGCUACCCCACGGCCACCGCCACGGCCUCCUCCACGCUGCACGCGCAGAUGCGCUGGUUCCCGCCCAUCGACGUGACGCAGCAAACCUGGAAGACUCGGCAGUUCUGCUGAGCGACUCCCACAACGAUCAUCGCCACCACCACCACCACAACGAUCAUCGCCACCACCACCACCAGCACCACCCCCCGACGCCACCACCACCACCACCACCCCCCGACGCCACCGCCGCCGCCGCCGCUACCGCACGGGCCACCCACCAACGGGAGGUCGCUCUCAACGCGUGCCGCGCUUGCAUGGAUUGUGUAAUUGCCUCUGCUGCUGCAUUACCACUUCGCUACUUUCACUCAUGGGGGCUGGGGGGCGGGGCUGUGGGGGGAGCUGGGGGGGGGGCUGGGGGGGGUGGAGCUGGGGGGGGGUGUUGUUCUUUGAGUUGUGCAGCGCUGCUACGUCGACCGCAGGCAAACCCCGCUCAACGCGCAGGAUGCGUUCCUGCCGGAAAACUUGCUUCGAGUGUGUUUAGUUUGUUGUCCUUACCCCCACCCCCUGCACCUCUGAUUAUCACGGUUGGCUACGUACGGUGCGAAAAAAGUUCAACAUGCACACAUACAAAGCAGAGAGAUGUGGUAUGGUGGAUCGUAAUGUGGUACAGAACCUAGCCGGAGGAUGUUCAGUAACCCAACGCAUAUCUAUGACUGGCAACCAUCAGUGUGAACAGUAAGUGUAUAUUAUUAAUACAUUAAGAGAGGUUACCUUGUCUGUUAUACUAUAUCUAAUAUUGUUAUUGUUGUUGGUUGUCAGUUCGCGUCGCCUCGCUCUCCUCCUGGAAUGCGCUUUUGAGAUGGGAAUGGUUCCAAAUGUUUUGGGUUUUCCUCUUCUUCUAUAUUCAUAAACUCUUUA